rnacentral:lncRNA from 1 species
GCCAUAACUGAAAGAAAAAUACAAUACCUCUAUAUUUAUGAAUUGAUUAAGCCUAAAGACUUAGACUUUAGUCUAAAAUUUUUUUCACUAUUUUAGUCAAAUUGGUAGCCUCUAUCUCCAAUCUGAAGAAUUACUUUAAUUCUUUAGUGGGUACUAGAAUCCACAUAGACUACGUAUAGGCCCGAUGAUGGCUCGAUCAACCUAUAUGC